GAUGAACGCUGGCGGCGUGCUUAACACAUGCAAGUCGAACGGAAAGGCCGAAGCUUGCUUCGGUACUCGAGUGGCGAACGGGUGAGUAACACGUGGGUGAUCUGCCCUGUACUUCGGGAUAAGCUUGGGAAACUGGGUCUAAUACCGGAUAUGACGAUCUCUUGGAUGGGGUUGUGGAAAGCUUUUGCGGUAUGGGAUGAGCUCGCGGCCUAUCAGCUUGUUGGUGGGGUAAUGGCCUACCAAGGCGUCGACGGGUAGCCGGCCUGAGAGGGUGUACGGCCACAUUGGGACUGAGAGACGGCCCAGACUCCUACGGGAGGCUGCAGUGGGGAAUAUUGCACAAUGGGCGCAAGCCUGAUGCAGCGACGCCGCGUGGGGGAUGACGGCCUUCGGGUUGUAAACUCCUUUCGCAAUCGACGAAGCCUUUUGGUGACGGUAGGUUGAGAAGAAGCACCGGCUAACUACGUG
rnacentral:rRNA from 1 species